CCGCGUGUGUGAAGAAGGCCUUUUGGUUGUAAAGCACUUUAAGCGAGGAGGAGGCUACUCUAGUUAAUACCUAGAGAUAGUGGACGUUACUCGCAGAAUAAGCACCGGCUAACUCUGUGCCAGCAGCCGCGGUAAUACAGAGGGUGCAAGCGUUAAUCGGAUUUACUGGGCGUAAAGCGCGCGUAGGUGGCCAAUUAAGUCAAAUGUGAAAUCCCCGAGCUUAACUUGGGAAUUGCAUUCGAUACUGGUUGGCUAGAGUAUGGGAGAGGAUGGUAGAAUUCCAGGUGUAGCGGUGAAAUGCGUAGAGAUCUGGAGGAAUACCGAUGGCGAAGGCAGCCAUCUGGCCUAAUACUGACACUGAGGUGCGAAAGCAUGGGGAGCAAACAGGAUUAGAUACCCUGGUAGUCCAUGCCGUAAACGAUGUCUACUAGCCGUUGGGGCCUUUGAGGCUUUAGUGGCGCAGCUAACGCGAUAAGUAGACCGCCU
rnacentral:rRNA from 1 species